GAUCAUGGCUCAGGAUGAACGCUAGCUACAGGCUUAACACAUGCAAGUCGAGGGGAAACGACAUCGAAAGCUUGCUUUUGAUGGGCGUCGACCGGCGCACGGGUGAGUAGCGCGUAUCCAACCUGCCCAUCACUUGGGAAUAACUUUGCGAAAGUAAGACUAAUACCCAACUGAUAUCCCACGAAGGCAUCCGAAUGGGAUUAAAGAUUUAUCGGUGAUGGAUGGGGAGUGCGU
rnacentral:rRNA from 1 species